CCUACGGGAGGCAGCAGUGAGGAAUAUUGGUCAAUGGACGAGAGUCUGAACCAGCCAAGUAGCGUGAAGGAUGACUGCCCUAUGGGUUGUAAACUUCUUUUAUAAAGGAAUAAAACGAGGCACGUGUGCCUUUUUGCAUGUACUUUAUGAAUAAGGAUCGGCUAACUCCGUGCCAGCAGCCGCGGUAAUACGGAGGAUCCGAGCGUUAUCCGGAUUUAUUGGGUGUAAAGGGAGCGUAGAUGGGUUGUUAAGUCAGUUGUGAAAGUUUGCAGCUCAACCGGAGAAUUGCAAUUGAUACUGGCAGUCUUGAGUACAGUUGAGGUAGGCGGAAUUCGUGGUGUAGCGGUGAAAUGCUUAGAUAUCACGAAGAACCCCGAUUGCGAAGGCAGCUUACUAAACUGUGACUGACAUUGAUGCUCGAAAGUGGGGGUAGCAAACAGGAUUAGAUACCCUAGUAGUC
rnacentral:rRNA from 1 species